GAUGAACGCUGGCGGCGUGCCUAACACAUGCAAGUCGAACGAACAGACCCGGAGCUUGCUCCUCUGACGUUAGCGGCGGACGGGUGAAUAACACGUGGAUAACCUACCUAUAAGUCUGGGAUAUCCUGGGAAAACCGGAGCUAAUACGGGAGAAUAUACUGAACCGUAUUGUGCAAUAGUAAAAGACGGUUUUGCGGUCACUUAUAGAUGGUUCUGCGCCGCAUUAGCUUGUUGUUAAGUAAACGGCUUACCACGGGGACGCGGCGUAGCCGAACUGAGAGAGUGAUCGGCCACACUAGAACGGGGACACGGUCCAUGCUCCUACGAGACGCAGCAGUAGGGAACCUUCCGCAAUGGGGGAAAGCCUGACGGAGCAGCGCCGAGUGAGUGCUGAAGGUCUUCGGAUCGGAAAGCUCUGUUAUUAGGGAAAAACAAAUGUGUAAGUAACUAUGCACGGCUUGACGGUACCUAAUCAGAAAGCCACGGCUAACUACGUG
rnacentral:rRNA from 1 species